AAGUAAAAGUCGUAACAAGGUUUCCGUAGGUGAACCUGCGGAAGGAUCAUUACAAGAAACGAGGCCGCGUGCGCUCGCCCGCCCGGCCCCGCUCCUUACCUUGCCUACUGCACCGUUUGUUGCUUCCUGGCGGCGGACUGCCCGCCGCCAGGGACGUUGAUACAACCCUGUAUAGAAGCAUUGAAGCUCUGAGAAAACGCGAAAUCGUACAACUUUCAACAAUGGAUCUCUUGGUUCUGGCAUCGAUGAAGAACGCAGCGAAAUGCGAUAAGUAGUGUGAAUUGCAGAAUUCAGUGAAUCAUCGAAUCUUUGAACGCACAUUGCGCCCCUUGGCAUUCCAUGGGGCAUGCCUGUUCGAGCGUCAUCUAAACCCUCAAGCCCCCGGCUUGGUGUUGGGUGCCUGUCCCCGCUCCCCGCGCGGACUCACCCCAAAUGCAUUGGCAGCCGCCUCUCGGCUUCUUGCGCAGCACAGUGCGCAGCGAGGCGAGGUGAGGCGUGCGUCCAGCAAGCAACCACCCAAGUUUGACCUCGGAUCAGGUAGGGAUACCCGCUG
rnacentral:rRNA from 1 species